CCAAUAAAUAUAUAUAUUUAAAAAAAAGAAAAGAAAUCUCUCCACUAAGCAUAGAGACUCCAGCACAGCUGAGCCUUCCCCCCGAUCAGAAGUCUAGUUUUCAGCUUCGAAGUGCCCUUUUUCCAAGCUUCUAUGUCUUUUUUUUUUGUACCAGGGAUCAAACUCAGGUCCUUGCACUUGUGCAGCAGGUGGCGAAACCACUGAGCUAAAUCCGCGGCCCCAAGCUCCUAAGUUCUAAUAGUACCAGCUUCUUUCUCCCAGCCCUCUGGGUGGUCGUUAGUCCCUGCAUUUGCUGGGUCUGAUAUGCCUUAGUAUUCUCUUUUUACCUCUUCAGUACCUAGUUAACAAUUUUACACCUGGUUACUUGUUUUCAUUGAAUUGUUCCUAUUAAAGUAAGUGGUCUGGUUUCUGUCUCCUGGCCAGAUUCUGACUGACACACUGAUCAGACACGGAGAAGGGGUAAAUCUAGAAUUGAUGUGGGGCUGAUUUGUGUUCUUGGACAGUAAGAAACAGAAAAAAUGCCACAGAGACAAUAUUCAAAGAAGAAACAGAAGAAAACGUUCCUAAAGUGAGAAUGUAAGGAAUGUUCAGCUCAGAGGGUUACCAGGCACAUUUACUGUGGAGAAACAUGAGUGAGGCACACACUGUGAUGCAUGAUGGAUGAUAUUUGAGGAAUGGGGAAAGAGUGAUGAAAAUUUAGGCAGAAGUAGAUUAUCUUUGAAGGAUCUAAAAAUGAGAUGGCCUCAGUUUUCCAAAUCUGACCUUAGAUCCCAGGUGAAAAUGAAACAGUGGAGAUACAUGAAGGAGAGAUGAUGGGAGCCAAAAGCUUAGUCAUGUUCAUAUGCAACUCAGAUAUACAUGGAUUUGGGAAAUACGCUGUCCAUAUCUCAUGGGAUGAGGUGGGGAAGAGAUGCUUGGAAAUUAGCUUCCGUCAGCCAAGAGAGGAAGCAAGACAAAGAACUCACGUGAGAAGCAGCUAGCAUUUCUGAAGAAUAAAAUGGCUGAAUGAUGGUGUGCUUAGAAACUAGGUACAAAAUUAAAGAUAAAUAAUCAUGGCAAAAUUGUAAAGUAGAACGUGGCUAUUGUAAUUUUUCAAGCAAAGUAGACAUAGCAAAAUAGCCCCGUAAUUUAAAAGAUGGAGACAAAAAUUUGAGAAGCAUUUCAUUGGAAGCCAGAUGAUGGCGGUGAGGGAUGGAGGAAGUGUAAGGGAACAGAUUUUCUUUCACUAAGGGACUUCCUCAUUUUUGAAGUUGAUAGCUUCAAGCAAGUACAUAUUAUUUAAAGAUAUAAAAACAAUCACCAGCAGAACCAAAAAUAUUGUUUAUCAAAUGAGUGGAAGGUAGGGAAAAUUAGAAAAUAAGGUGGAAGCAUGUAAAACAUAAAAGAAGAAAAUAAAAUUAAGGCCAAUGAUACCUGUUAUGAAAUCACAUAUGAAUAGAAAAAAAUGAAAGGAAAAUGACCCUCAGAUUGGAUAAAUCUAACCCAAGCCCACCUGUACGUUGACUUCAAAGUCAGCACACACUGGAAAUGAAAUAAUUAAGGAAGAAUCGUCACAGAUACAUCAGCCAAAUGCAAACAAAGGAAAGGCAGAGGUCACAACAUCACCACUGGAUGUACAGGAAUUCAAAACUGAGGGCCGGUUGACAAACUGACAAGUCAAAUACAAGCCCCUGGAUCACGAGGAGAGACGUAUUCCAACCUCUUUUGUGCAUGGCUGCAGAUGACACCUCAUAAGAGCUCAAUAAAUGUGCGUUUCCUCUCCCUCCUUCAGCUCUUCUAGGCGAGAACAAGGUGGUUAAUACCAAGUCCGCUUCCCCUGGGUGAACAGAAUGGGGUGGUCUUUGUGCAAAGAUGUUGUCAACUCCCUCACUUUCUUUCAACACGUGUGAUAUGUUGACAGAAAUCCACCAAAGAAGCAGCCGUUAGGCAGAAAUCCACCUGAGCUGCUGUGCAUGUGGCAAAACAUCUCAAAGACCCCAAAAGCGAGGCAUCAUCAUGUUUACAUCACAGCUCUGAAACGAAAAAGAAACGGACUAUUGAGUCUGAUUUCUCCAUUAUCCUGUUGCGUUCGGAUUUUUAAAAGGGAUCAAAAUUCCAUUUUUCCUAAAGAAAGGGAGCCACAGAUUCACAGAUUUCAUUAUCAACUUGAAACAAAUUGAGCAAAAAAUUAGGGGGAAUGUUUUUUCAUAUCCAGCAAGGCCUUCUUUUAAAACCAGCAAACAUCUGCGCACUUAAGUACCUUCUGUUGAGGUCUAAGGAAGUCACUUUCUGGAAUACAUGUGAGUUCAUUGACUCUGCCUCACUUUCAAGAACUGAAUAAGAAAUGAAAUCAUCCUGUAGGUUUUAGAAAAGUAUGAAAAAUGCUACAUCUGCCGAGAAAGUUUGGAUGGGCUAUUCAGAUCUUACCAGAAACAGAUGCAGAACACUGUGUUGGGUUGGAACUGGGCCAGUAUUUGGGGCAACAUUUGGAUUUUCUCUUCAAAUAAAAUAAAUAAAUAAUUUAAA